rnacentral:rRNA from 1 species
GCUCAGAUUGAACGCUGGCGGCAUGCCUUACACAUGCAAGUCGAACGGUAACGCGGGGCAACCUGGCGACGAGUGGCGAACGGGUGAGUAAUAUAUCGGAACGUGCCCAGUAGUGGGGGAUAGCCCGGCGAAAGCCGGAUUAAUACCGCAUGAGACCUGAGGGUGAAAGCGGGGGAUCGCAAGACCUCGCGCUAUUGGAGCGGCCGAUAUCAGAUUAGGUAGUUGGUGGGGUAAAAGCCUACCAAGCCGACGAUCUGUAGCUGGUCUGAGAGGACGACCAGCCACACUGGGACUGAGACACGGCCCAGGCUCCUACGGGAGGCAGCAGUGGGGAAUUUUGGACAAUGGGCGCAAGCCUGAUCCAGCCAUGCCGCGUGCGGGAAGAAGGCCUUCGGGUUGUAAACCGCUUUUGUCAGGGAAGAAAUCUUUUGGGUUAAUACCUCGGAGGGAUGACGGUACCUGAAGAAUAAGCACCGGCUAACUACGUGCCAGCAGCCGCGGUAAUACGUAGGGUGCGAGCGUUAAUCGGAAUUACUGGGCGUAAAGCGUGCGCAGGCGGUCUUGCAAGACAGGUGUGAAAUCCCCGGGCUUAACCUGGGAACUGCACUUGUGACUGCAAGGCUGGAGUACGGCAGAGGGGGAUGGAAUUCCGCGUGUAGCAGUGAAAUGCGUAGAUAUGCGGAGGAACACCGAUGGCGAA